rnacentral:rRNA from 1 species
GAACGCUGGCGGCGCUGCCUAAUACAUGCAAGUCGAGCGAAUGGAUUAAGAGCUUGCUCUUAUGAAGUUAGCGGCGGACGGGUGAGUAACACGUGGGUAACCUGCCUAUAAGACUGGGAUAACUCCGGGAACCGGGGCUAAUACCGGAUAACAUUUUGAACCGCAUGGUUCGAAUUGAAAGGCGGCUUCGGCUGUCACUUAUGGAUGGACCCGCGUCGCAUUAGCUAGUUGGUGAGGUAACGGCUCACCAAGGCAACGAUGCGUAGCCGACCUGAGAGGGUGAUCGGCCACACUGGGACUGAGACACGGCCCAGACUCCUACGGGAGGCAGCAGUAGGGAAUCUUCCGCAAUGGACGAAAGUCUGACGGAGCAACGCCGCGUGAGUGAUGAAGGCUUUCGGGUCGUAAAACUCUGUUGUUAGGGAAGAACAAGUGCUAGUUGAAUAAGCUGGCACCUUGACGGUACCUAACCAGAAAGCCACGGCUAACUACGUGCCAGCAGCCGCGGUAAUACGUAGGUGGCAAGCGUUAU